AGCGAACGUUAGCGGCGCGCCUAACACAUGCAAGUCGCACGAGAAAGGGAGCAAUCCCCGGUACAGUGGCGCACGGGUGAGUAACACGUAGAUGACCUUCCCUGGAGUGGUGGAUAACCUGCCGAAAGGCGGGCUAAUACAGCAUGGGACCACAUGGUUUUGACCGAGUGGUGAAAGCGGGCCUCUGUUCACAAGCUCGCGCUCUGGGAUGGGUCUGCGUCCCAUCAGCUAGUUGGUGAGGUAAUGGCUCACCAAGGCAUCGACGGGUAGCUGGUCUGAGAGGAUGACCAGCCACACUGGAACUGAGACACGGUCCAGACUCCUACGGGAGGCAGCAGUGGGGAAUCUUGCGCAAUGGGCGAAAGCCUGACGCAGCGACGCCGCGUGGGUGAUGAAGGCCCUUGGGUUGUAAACCGCUGUCAGGGGGA
rnacentral:rRNA from 1 species